UUCCAAGGUUAAACUAUAGAAAACACAAGAAGCUACCUUUGGGAAAUACGUCAUAGACACGUUACAGCCUUCCUCAUUGCUGAGUGGAAGAUUUGGGAACCACAUGAACAUCUCUAGAUCUACUUUCAGAACCCCAACACCAAAAUUACCAGAGUUUUUGGCAAACUUCAAAUUACAGUCACAAGAAUGGUAGACAAGACGAUUCAAG